CUGAACUGAUGCCGAGGCAGGCGUAAGCCUGGGGGAAUUACCUGUGAAAGCAGGCAGCUGCACUGAGUGCACCACUGAACCCUUCAACACCUCAACUGCACCCUCUCUGGCGCACAGGCAUCUUUCA
rnacentral:ncRNA from 1 species